UACGUAGGGUGCAGGCGUUAAUCGGAAUUACUGGGCGUAAAGCGUGCGCAGGCGGUUCUGAAAGUCAGCUGUGAAAGCCCCGGGCUUAACCUGGGAAUGGCGGUUGAAACUACAGGACUAGAAUCUGGCAGAGGGGGGUGGAAUUCCACGUGUAGCAGUGAAAUGCGUAGAGAUGUGGAGGAACACCGAUGGCGAAGGCAGCCCCCUGGGUCAAGAUUGACGCUCAUGCACGAAAGCGUGGGGAGCAAACAGG
rnacentral:rRNA from 1 species